GCCGGGGUUAGCUCCGAUAGAAUCCUCCAACAUUCAAGUCAGAAAUUUACAAAAUAGAUGAGGAGUGCACAAGAGAGAAAAAAUUACAUAUCUUAGAGAUCCCCUGAUUAUUUCUAUUUAUAGGUCAAGGUGGGAGCCGUAAAAGGGAAGAGUUGGAGAGCAUCUCGACUCCUUCAGAUGCGUCAUUCCGAGAUUUUGAUCUGAUUGUUUGGGAUUAGGUUGUUGUGGUUAUCUUAUCUGAUUCUUGGCCAGCUGCUCCCAACAGUUGUAUGAUUUGAAGGGAG
rnacentral:lncRNA from 1 species